AGGAAAAAGUGCUCGGCUGAUGACAACUAGGUGUACUUAUAUCUGUUAUACCCAUUUACAGAAGCUGAUUUACACCAACAGAGGACCUGAUGCAUCUUUUACUUGUCAAAUGGUUGUAUUUUGGGGCUGUGCACAGGGUGUUUGUACAAGGGGGGAGAGAUGGAUACGACCAGAAAAGGAGCUCUGGGACGUGCAGCUGGGAGAGACUGUUCUGUUGGCUGCUGAGAAAAGGCCAAUGAGCCCUGAGUACCGUCAUCUUUAAGUGCAACAUCUUCAGAUUUCAUCACUUUUCCUGCAGAUUGAUG
rnacentral:lncRNA from 1 species